GACGAACGCUGGCGGCGUGCCUAAUACAUGCAAGUCGAACGCAUUUCUUUUCACCGGAGCUUGCUCCACCGAAAAGAAAUGAGUGGCGGACGGGUGAGUAACACGUGGGCAACCUGCCCAUCAGAGGGGGAUAACACUUGGAAACAGGUGCUAAUACCGCAUAAUUGAUUUUACCGCAUGGUGAGAUCAUAAAAGACGCUUCGGUGUCACUGGUGGAUGGGCCCGCGGUGCAUUAGUUAGUUGGUGGGGUAACGGCCUACCAAGACCAUGAUGCAUAGCCGACCUGAGAGGGUGAUCGGCCACACUGGGACUGAGACACGGCCCAGACUCCUACGGGAGGCAGCAGUAGGGAAUCUUCGGCAAUGGACGAAAGUCUGACCGAGCAACGCCGCGUGAGUGAAGAAGGUUUUCGGAUCGUAAAACUCUGUUGUUAGAGAAGAACAAGUGAUAGAGUAACUGUUAUCACCUUGACGGUAUCUAACCAGAAAGCCACGGCUAACUACGUGCCAGCCGCCGCCGUAACAC
rnacentral:rRNA from 1 species